UGCCUUGUGGGGAAUGUUUCCCAUCU
rnacentral:piRNA from 1 species